AGCCAACCCAUGUGUAUCUAUGGGUAGAUUCUCAACUAAUUAUUUCUUCAAAUAAUUUUUAAUAUUUGGUUUUGCAUCAAGUACCUUUUUAGUGGGUGAAGGCCUCCACUGGUCCUAGUUAGGUCCAACCAUUAAUAUGAACAUACUCAGUGAAUCUAGCUAAUGAAUGAUUAGACUCAAAGAAAGCUCGACCAAUCCAACCAUUCAUCAGAUAAUACAGCUAAGUCAUCAUAUAAUGAAUGAUAGUAAUAAUAUCUAAAUAAACACCA
rnacentral:lncRNA from 1 species